rnacentral:rRNA from 1 species
GCUCAGGACGAACGCUGGCGGCGUGCUUAACACAUGCAAGUCGAACGGUAAGGCCCUUUCGGGGGUACACGAGUGGCGAACGGGUGAGUAACACGUGGGUGAUCUGCCCUGCACUUUGGGAUAAGCCUGGGAAACUGGGUCUAAUACCGAAUACACCUUGCUGGUCGCAUGGCCUGGUGGGGGAAAGCUUUUGCGGUGUGGGAUGGGCCCGCGGCCUAUCAGCUUGUUGGUGGGGUGAUGGCCUACCAAUGCGACGACGGGUAGCCGGCCUGAGAGGGUGUCCGGCCACACUGGGACUGAGAUACGGCCCAGACUCCUACGGGAGGCAGCAGUGGGGAAUAUUGCACAAUGGGCGCAAGCCUGAUGCAGCGACGCCGCGUGAGGGAUGACGGCCUUCGGGUUGUAAACCUCUUUCAAUAGGGACGAAGCGGAAGUGACGGUACCUAUAGAAGAAGCACCGGCCAACUACGUGCCAGCAGCCGCGGUAAUACGUAGGGUGCGAGCGUUGUCCGGAAUUACUGGGCGUAAAGAGCUCGUAGGUGGUUUGUCGCGUUGUUCGUGAAAACCGGGGGCUUAACCCUCGGCGUGCGGGCGAUACGGGCAGACUGGAGUACUGCAGGGGAGACUGGAAUUCCUGGUGUAGCGGUGGAAUGCGCAGAUAUCAGGAGGAACACCGGUGGCGAAGGCGGGUCUCUGGGCAGUAACUGACGCUGAGGAGCGAAAGCGUGGGGAGCGAACAGGAUUAGAUACCCUGGUAGUCCACGCCGUAAACGGUGGGUACUAGGUGUGGGUUUCCUUCCUUGGGAUCCGUGCCGUAGCUAACGCAUUAAGUACCCCGCCUGGGGAGUACGGCCGCAAGGCUAAAACUCAAAGGAAUUGACGGGGGCCCGCACAAGCGGCGGAGCAUGUGGAUUAAUUCGAUGCAACGCGAAGAACCUUACCUGGGUUUGACAUGCACAGGACGUGCCUAGAGAUAGGUAUUCCCUUGUGGCCUGUGUGCAGGUGGUGCAUGGCUGUCGUCAGCUCGUGUCGUGAGAUGUUGGGUUAAGUCCCGCAACGAGCGCAACCCUUGUCUCAUGUUGCCAGCACGUGAUGGUGGGGACUCGUGAGAGACUGCCGGGGUCAACUCGGAGGAAGGUGGGGAUGACGUCAAGUCAUCAUGCCCCUUAUGUCCAGGGCUUCACACAUGCUACAAUGGCCGGUACAAAGGGCUGCGAUGCCGUGAGGUGGAGCGAAUCCUUUUAAAGCCGGUCUCAGUUCGGAUCGGGGUCUGCAACUCGACCCCGUGAAGUCAGAGUCGCU